UUCCCAAUUUUAUCACUUUUUCUUCCCAUCCUGCCCCUCUCUCCCUCGACUGAUACUCAUUCACACCACAGCCACUGAAUGCAACUGAAAGCCAUUAAGACGCCAAUGAUAAGUCGGAGGAAGCCAAAGGUCGGACGGAACAUUAAUACAAUUGAUUGUUGUCUCCUUUUGACGCACACCAUUUAUUUUCCUCUCUUGUCUCUUUGGUACAACAUUCAUCAGAGCAUUCUUCUCAAAUUUCUUAAAUCAAGGAAGCAAAACGAAGAAGAAAAUCAAGCGUGAAAAUGGUUUGGCUUCUAGGUCUCCUGAAGAGUUGAUUCCAGAGGUUGAUCAUGAUGAUGGAUUCUAACCGAAGCAGACGACGUUACCAGUAGCACCUAGGGUUCUAGCAGAACUCCGGCAAGUUGGAUCCGUCGUGCAUGUCCCAUUUUGGUGUAGAUCGAUCGUCAAACACCGAGGUUCUCUGUAACACCAAGGUUCUCUGUAACCCUAAUCUAAAAAAACUUUGUUUUUCGUUUAAUUUGUAUACGAACCCUCAACUAUUUCCUUCCAAAUUCUUUCUGGGGUUUGAGUGAAAUCGUCAAAAUUUCAUGCUUUUGUUGACAUUUGUUAAAGCUUUCUUGACAGUUUUUGUGUACAAUGUUCCAGGUUUCUUGAUAAAUUGGCAUCGACUUUUUGAUUAAUGUAGACUAAUUGAACAUUAAUCCAGCUUCAAAUCUUGAUCUUGGCAGGCAAUUGGAAAUAAAGAGUUUUGUAGUAAAAAAUAAGCUGAGGGAAAAAGGAAAACCGAAGCAUGUGAAACAAAUGAAACCAAGAAGGCGAAAGUAUCCGAGCAUGAGGAGAUCGGAGUUUGUACGGUUCCCGAAAGCAGCAAAGACCAACAUUCAAACACAAAUGGAAGACAAAAAUCUAAAAGUCAAUCUAAUUAGUGUCAUGAUGGUUUGCGGUUGCAUAAACAGAUUGUGCCAAAAUGUCAAUAGAUCAUCAUCGCUCAUUGCUAAUAUACUUGGUAUCAAAAGGCGCUAAGCGAAAGCAAAAAUUGAUAACAUUUUCUCCAGUUUCUUACGAUUUCAGUUGGAGUUGUGUAUGCAGACACUAGCACAAAGAAACUCCAUAGCUAAAGAUCGUGUCCGAGCAUUGACAAUGACCGCAAGACAAACAAUGGUUGAGAUAUGGCGCCCGGUGCAAGACGUUGCUGAUUCAUGUACAGCCGGAGCUGCAACAAAUGUUAUUUUCGGGCUUGCAUAGGGAUACAAAUCUGUUAUUAUUCCAAUUUUUGCAAUAGCUAUUAGCAUUUUUGUGAGCAUUAGCCUUGCACCCAUGUACGGGAUUGCGGUUGCUGCUCUUGGAAUGCCGAGCACCAUUGCCACCGGUCUAGCUAUCCAUGCUUACGGUCCGAUCAGUGACAAUGCUGGCGGCAUUGCUGAGUUGGCGGGCAUGAGCCAUCGCAUCCAUGAGCGGACCGAUGCACUUGAUGCUGUUGGAAACACAACUGCUGCUAUCGGAAAGGUUGCCCUUGUGCCUGGAGAUGCAUUUGGGGAUGACAGCUGCAUCCGGAUCUCAUAUGCGGCAUCCCUCUCCGACUUACAAACCACUGCUGACAGAAUCAAAAAACCUAUCCUCACACCCUCAAGGCUCCUUCAAAUAUCUGAUUGUUAUUUUGCAUACUGCAAGACAUAUUAAUAGUGUGUUUUCCUCAUUUGUAAUUUAUAAUGUUAUAUAAUUGCUAUAAUAUAACUGGUGGUUUCAAUUUAUAAUGUCAAUGUCACUCGUGACAUUUUUUUA